UACAGAGGAUGCAAGCGUUAUCCGGAAUGAUUGGGCGUAAAGCGUCUGUAGGUGGCUUUUUAAGUCCGCCGUCAAAUCCCAGGGCUCAACUCUGGACAGGCGGUGGAAACUACCAAGCUGGAGUACGGUAGGGGCAGAGGGAAUUUCCGGUGGAGCGGUGAAAUGCGUAGAGACCCGGAGGAACACCAGAGGCGAAGGCGGUUUCCUGGACAGUUACUGACGCUCAGGCACGAAAGCAUGGGGAGCAAAAGGG
rnacentral:rRNA from 1 species